rnacentral:rRNA from 1 species
GACGAACGCUGGCGGCGUGCUUAACACAUGCAAGUCGAACGGAAAGGCCCUGCUUUUGUGGGGUGCUCGAGUGGCGAACGGGUGAGUAACACGUGAGUAACCUGCCCUUGACUUUGGGAUAACUUCAGGAAACUGGGGCUAAUACCGGAUAGGAGCUCCUGCUGCAUGGUGGGGGUUGGAAAGUUUCGGCGGGUGGGGAUGGACUCGCGGCUUAUCAGCUUGUUGGUGGGGUAGUGGCUUACCAAGGCUUUGACGGGUAGCCGGCCUGAGAGGGUGACCGGCCACAUUGGGACUGAGAUACGGCCCAGACUCCUACGGGAUGCAGCAGUGGGGAAUAUUGCACAAUGGGCGGAAGCCUGAUGCAGCAACGCCGCGUGCGGGAUGACGUCCUUCGGGUUGUAAACCGCUUUCGCCUGUGACGAAGCGUGAGUGACGGUAAUGGGUAAAGAAGCACCGGCUAACUACGUG